rnacentral:rRNA from 1 species
GUCGAACGGAAAGGCCCUGCUUUUGUGGGGUGCUCGAGUGGCGAACGGGUGAGUAACACGUGAGUAACCUGCCCUUGACUUUGGGAUAACUUCAGGAAACUGGGGCUAAUACCGGAUAGGAGCUCCUGCUGCAUGGUGGGGGUUGGAAAGUUUCGGCGGUUGGGGAUGGACUCGCGGCUUAUCAGCUUGUUGGUGGGGUAGUGGCUUACCAAGGCUUUGACGGGUAGCCGGCCUGAGAGGGUGACCGGCCACAUUGGGACUGAGAUACGGCCCAGACUCCUACGGGAGGCAGCAGUGGGGAAUAUUGCACAAUGGGCGGAAGCCUGAUGCAGCAACGCCGCGUGCGGGAUGACGGCCUUCGGGUUGUAAACCGCUUUCGCCUGUGACGAAGCGUGAGUGACGGUAAUGGGUAAAGAAGCACCGGCUAACUACGUGCCAGCAGCCGCGGUGAUACGUAGGGUGCGAGCGUUGUCCGGAUUUAUUGGGCGUAAAGGGCUCGUAGGUGGUUGAUCGCGUCGGAAGUGUAAUCUUGGGGCUUAACCCUGAGCGUGCUUUCGAUACGGGUUGACUUGAGGAAGGUAGGGGAGAAUGGAAUUCCUGGUGGAGCGGUGGAAUGCGCAGAUAUCAGGAGGAACACCAGUGGCGAAGGCGGUUCUCUGGGCCUUUCCUGACGCUGAGGAGCGAAAGCGUGGGGAGCGAACAGGCUUAGAUACCCUGGUAGUCCACGCUGUAAACGGUGGGUACUAGGUGUGGGGUCCAUUCCACGGGUUCCGUGCCGUAGCUAACGCUUUAAGUACCCCGCCUGGGGAGUACGGCCGCAAGGCUAAAACUCAAAGGAAUUGACGGGGCCCCGCACAAGCGGCGGAGCAUGCGGAUUAAUUCGAUGCAACGCGUAGAACCUUACCUGGGUUUGACAUGGAUCGGGAGUGCUCAGAGAUGGGUGUGCCUCUUUUGGGGUCGGUUCACAGGUGGUGCAUGGCUGUCGUCAGCUCGUGUCGUGAGAUGUUGGGUUAAGUCCCGCAACGAGCGCAACCCUUGUUCACUGUUGCCAGCACGUUAUGGUGGGGACUCAGUGGAGACCGCCGGGGUCAACUCGGAGGAAGGUGGGGAUGACGUCAAGUCAUCAUGCCCCUUAUGUCCAGGGCUUCACGCAUGCUACAAUGGCUGGUACAGAGAGUGGCGAGCCUGUGAGGGUGAGCGAAUCUCGGAAAGCCGGUCUCAGUUCGGAUUGGGGUCUGCAACUCGACCUCAUGAAGUCGGAGUCGCUAGUAAUCGCAGAUCAGCAACGCUGCGGUGAAUACGUUCCCGGGGCUUGUACACACCGCCCGUCAAGUCAUGAAAGUUGGUAACACCCGAAGCCGGUGGCCUAACCGUUGUGGGGGAGCCGUCGAAGGUGGGACUGGUACCGGAAGGUGCGGCU